rnacentral:lncRNA from 1 species
CAUAAAGAGAUGGGGUGUUUAGAUAUUCUGCAAGGGGCAGGACUAACUGCUGGAAACACAUUUGCAGCAGAGAACGCCAAUGGAAGAGUGAAAAGAUCCCUGUAACAGGAGGGUUGGCAGAGGUGGCUCAGUUUACACAUCUCUCCCGAGAGCUAGAUCCAGGCACUUGGCCGCGUGUGGAAACAUUGCUGGCAGAAACCCAGACAGAUCAUAGAUCCAUUGCUUUAGUAAGUUCCCCAGGAGAGAUCGUUUUUCUCUUCCAUUCUGAAUUACAUCACAUAUCCAAACAGCAAGACUUCCACGGAUGCAGAGAGCAGUGUGAAAUCCAUACACUCUGGAGAGAGCUCGGGAACGACUGAGCACCGUUUAUUCUGCCCGGGAACCCCACAGCCAUUUCUCUGGCUUCUUUCUUCUUUUCUCCCCCUCACUGGCUGAGCUUCAGACUGACUGAUGCAUAAGUUCCUCCAGAAUCUGCCUGGAGACCUCUGAACUGGCUCCUCAUCUGGCUGGGGAGGGUUCCCCUUCCAGGUGUGCUCCUGGCUGGACACAGGUAUCUUCUCAGCAGCACCUUCUCUGGCCAAGCUCCCAGGAGGCAGCUUUACCCUGUCCCGCAGGGCGCUGGCGCAUUGUCUGCAUAGGCAGCUCAGUCUCCCACUGUUUGUCAUCCGUCUCCUAGGGUGAGCACAGGUUUGACAAGGACAAAUACAUGGCCCAUUCUGUUGGCUGUUGAAUCCAAAACACCUGGACCAGGGGCAGCCAAGCAUCGGGUGCUCAGUAAAGAACUGUGGAAUCAAUGGAUCCGUAAAAAGAUGAUUUGGCUACUUCAGCCUUCCUGAUUUUCACUGUUUUAGAUACAGAGAUGUGUUUCUCUUUCUUGUCACUAUUGGGCACAGGUAUUUCAGACCCGCUGAGCUGAUGCCAAGGCGGGUACGCAGAGCACAGGCCCUGUCUUCCUGUCUCCUGGGCGGGCCUGUCCUCAGGGAGCCAGCUGCGUCACUCUCCGGUAGCAGUCUCGGUCAACAGCUACUUCUGGGUCAGUCUUUCUAACUCUAGAUUUGGUGAUUUGAACACAUUCAUCAAGGCAAGUUGGUCAUUGUGUGUAUGCCAUAGAGUACACUUGCACAAACCUAAUAGCAUGGGCCAUUCACUUGAUGUGGCCUUGGAAUGUAACCAAGAGACCAGAUAAACACAGAUGCAUGAGGCUGCUGCAGGUGUGACGCCCACACUGAGAUAAGGAUAAAAGUGCACUGUACUGUAGUAAAUACAUAAACCAGCAAGUCAUUUAUUGUUAUUACUGGGUGUUAAGUGCUGAAGAUAAUUCUAUGUUCUAUGCUUUAAGACAAGCAGUGCAUGGUAGGCUUCUUAUGCCAGCAUCGCCCUGAACGUGUGAGGAAUGUUUUGUGCUAGGAUGGCUCCACAUCACUAUGUGAUAGGAAUCCUACAACGCCGGUAUAAUCCUGUGGGGCCACCAUUGUACAUGUGCUCCAUGUUUGACUAAAAUAUUGUUAUGGUCAUGUUGUGUUCUGUUGUAACUUAGCUCAUGACUAUCUUCCAUGGUUGGGCAUCAUAAUUUAGAUCUCCAUUUGUAGCUUGGUCAUUCUGUUUCUUAUUUUAAUGAGAAUUUGUGAGACCAAAGCUACUCCAUUUUGCUAAAAGUCACUAUUCCCCUAGCCUCUAUUAUUAAUGGUUGAAAUGUGCUUGCUCUGGGACAAAAGACACACUCUAGUUCUUGGGGUGGGGGGGCCCAUCUGCAAAACAAUCUGUCAAUGUGCCGACCAUCAGUACAUAAUGGUCGUGACCAUUAGCCAUUGUGUCUACUGACUGCCAGUACUUGACAGUCAGCCACUAACCUUUGUCCCUCUUUUCCCUCGUAAAACCUAUAUGUAACCACCCCCCAACCCCCAAUGAGCCGAGCCAAUCAGAAGUAUAUACUUCAUGCUUGCUAAAUGCCAACCAAUCAUGUAACCGCUAAAUGGAAAAUCCCCAAACCUUGCUGUAACUUCAACAAAAACCCCGCUAAUGUGAAAUUCGGGACUCUCAAUUCUGAUCCGCUGCGUCGGUGAAGGUUGGGAGCCCCUGCUCAAGCUUGAAUAAAUGACCCUCGUGUGCUUGCAUCAGAAACGGCUUCCUGGUGGUCUUUUGGGACUUCGCAAUCUGGGCACAACAAAUUCAACUCCACAAAUUGUAAGAUUCCAUGUU